AUUGAACGCUGGCGGCAGGCCUAACACAUGCAAGUCGAGCGAGCGUCGGACGGGUGAGUAAUGUAUGGGGACUGCCCGAUAGAGGGGGAUAACUACUGGCAACGGUAGCUAAUACCGCAUACUAUCGGAUAACCCAUAUGGGAUGAGCUAGUAGGUGAGGUAAUGUCUCACCUAGGCGAUGAUCCCUAGCUGGUCUAAGAGGAUGAUCAGCAACACUGGAGCUGAGAAGCAGCCCAGAAUCCUACGGAGUCAGCAGUGGGGACAAUUGCACCAUUGGCGCAAGCCUGAUGCAGCCAUGCCGCGUGUAUGAAGAAGGCCCUAGGGUUGUAAAGUACUUUCAGUCGGGAGGCGUUACCGACAGAAGAAGCACCGGCUAACUCCGUGCCAGCCGCCGGGGUAAUAC
rnacentral:rRNA from 1 species